CCUACGGGGAGCUGCAGUGGGGAAUAUUGGACAAUGGGCGAAAGCCUGAUCCAGCCAUGCCGCGUGUGUGAAGAAGGCCUUCGGGUUGUAAAGCACUUUCAGUGGGGAAGAAAGCCUUGGGGCUAAUACCCUCGAGGAAGGACAUCACCCACAGAAGAAGCACCGGCUAACUCCGUGCCAGCAGCCGCGGUAAUACGGAGGGUGCGAGCGUUAAUCGGAAUUACUGGGCGUAAAGCGCGCGUAGGCGGUCUGAUAAGCCGGUUGUGAAAGCCCCGGGCUCAACCUGGGAACGGCAUCCGGAACUGUCAGGCUAGAGUGCAGGAGAGGAAGGGAAAAUUCCCGGUGUAGCGGGGAAAUGCGUAGAGCUCGGGAGGAAUACCAGUGGCGAAGGCGGCCUUCUGGACUGACACUGACGCUGAGGUGCGAAAGCGUGGGUAGCAAACAGGAUUAGAUACCCGAGUAGUC
rnacentral:rRNA from 1 species